GGGGCGGUAGCUCAGUGGUCAGAGCACGGCACUCAUAAUGCUUCGGUCGUGGGUUCGAUCCCCACCCGCCCCA
rnacentral:tRNA from 2 species